CAGAGAAAAACACGACUCCCAUCGCCUUCCUGGUGGCUCCUUGUUGCCAGCAAGCAACCGGUGCCACCGUUUUGGUCUGUUUGGUGACCAACAUCCCCACCACCGACCCCACCGUCCAGUGGGUGUCGCCGGCGGGCACCAGCGUCGCCGUGGCCGCCAACCCCGUGGCUUUGGCUACCGUGCAGUUGGCCAAGGAGAACGUCUACGUGAGCAGCAGAACCGUCAACAUCACCAGCGGCGACCGACCCCCCCAGUGCCACGUGAGCCAUGGACCUUCCAAUCUCAACUCCUUGCAGUUGCCCAAGGACGAUUGUAAGCCGAUGGAGGCGCCGGUUGGGGUGACGGCGGUGGAGGAACGCGUCUUCCUGGUGGAACCCCGGUGUGGAGAUGAUGAGGUGGAGUUGGAGCUCCUCUGCGGCGUCUGGAGCCCCACGGCGGAGCAGGUGAAGGUGUCCUGGUUGUUGAACGGGAAGGAGAUGUCUCCCACCGUCGGGAAGGAGAAGACCGGGGCGAGGAGUCAGUUGAAGAUCGGACGGGAGAGUUGGGACAAAGGGGACGUCUACACCUGCAGAGUGUCGCGGGCGACGGGUGGAGGGGCGGUGACGCGCAACAGCAGCAAGUGCACGGCCUGCGUGGGCGCCCCCGUCCCACCCCAGCUCUACCUCACCCAACCCUCCUACGCCGACCUCGUGGCCGGUGCCACCGCCUCCGUCACCUGUCUUCUCCUGGGGUGGCACCUAGAAGGUGCCACCCUCACCUGGGACGAUGACCGGGUGGGGCAGAUGGGGAGGGACCUCCUCCGCCACCCCAACGGCACCCAGGGUCUUCUCCUCGCCCGCCCCGUCACCCUGGAGGAGUGGUUGGGCGGCCGCCACCUGCACUGCCACGCCACUGUCCCCUGCCACCGCAACGUCACCAAGGAGGUCCACCUGGGGCCCGGCCCCAACCUCCAGAAGCCCCCGAAUGUGACGGUGACCCGUGUCCCCGGCGGGGCCACCCAAGGGGACCUCCUCCUCUGCGACGUCACCGACUUCUCCCCCCGAGACAUCGUCCUCCAGUGGACGGGGGGCAGAGACCUCCAAGCCCGUACCAAAAUGGGACCCGUCACCGGCCGGGAGGUCUUCUCCGUCCUCAGCGUCCUGCGCUUGGAGGUGGGGGAGGAGGGGAAGGACUACGUUUGCGUGGUGCACCACCCCACCCUGAAGGAACCGCGGCACGUCGGCGAAGCCGCCGACCCCUGGGAUUGCGGCGGGCUGAGGGCGGUGCCUUGCGGCUUGGUGGGCGAAGGAGAUGACCUGGAGCCGGAGGAGGACGGCAGUGCCUGGACCACCUUCUCCACCUUCGUGGUGCUCUUCCUCCUCCUCAUCUUCUACAGCGGCUUCGUCACCUUCAUUAAGGUAACGAAGGUGCGGGUUGCCCGGCCUUAG